rnacentral:rRNA from 1 species
UACGGGGGGGGCAAGCGUUGUUCGGAAUUACUGGGCGUAAAGCGCGCGUAGGCGGACCUGCAAGUCGGGGGUGAAAGCCCGAGGCUCAACCUCGGAACUGCCUCCGAUACUGCGGGUCUCGAGUCCGGGAGAGGUGAGUGGAAUUCCUAGUGUAGAGGUGAAAUUCGUAGAUAUUAGGAAGAACACCAGUGGCGAAGGCGGCUCACUGGCCCGGUACUGACGCUGAGGCGCGAAAGCGUGGGGAGCAAACAGG